rnacentral:rRNA from 1 species
GGAGGGAUCAUUACAGAGUUACUACUCCAAACCCAUUGUGAACCUUACCUAUGUUCUGUUGCCUCGGCGGCGUGGUCAGCGCCCCCUCUGAAAAGAGGACGAUGCCCUCCCGCCGGCAGCACCAAACUCUUUGAAUUUUACAGCGGAUUACAGUUCUGAUUUGAAAACAAAAAACAAGUUAAAACUUUCAACAACGGAUCUCUUGGUUCUGGCAUCGAUGAAGAACGCAGCGAAAUGCGAUAAGUAAUGUGAAUUGCAGAAUUCAGUGAAUCAUCGAAUCUUUGAACGCACAUUGCGCCCGGCAGUAAUCUGCCGGGCAUGCCUGUCCGAGCGUCAUUUCAACCCUCGAACCUCCGUUUCCUCAGGGAAGCUCAGGGUCGGUGUUGGGGCGCUACGGCGAGUCUUCGCGACCCUCCGUAGGCCCUGAAAUACAGUGGCGGUCCCGCCGCGGUUGCCUUCUGCGUAGUAAGUCUCUUUUGCAAGCUCGCAUUGGGUCCCGGCGGAGGCCUGCCGUCAAACCACCUAUAACUCCAGAUGGUUUGACCUCGGAUCAGGUAGGGUUACCCGCUGAACUUAAGCAUA